AUUUUUGAGGGCAGGGGCAGCUUCCGCUGUGAACUGAGAGGAGCUGGAACUUGGAAGGAGCCUGUCGAUAAGCACUUGGCUAUGGCGGAAGCGGUUAAAUAGAGUGGCUCACAUAUGCCUUCCAUGGUUCUUGCAUUUCAGCAGCACGUCUGGCCGGCCGGAGCUUUUGCCUCAGCGGUAGAUGUGUUUCCAGUCGCUUGCUUGUGGUUUUAUCUUUUGCUUGUGAUUUGGAUAGAUUUGGUCUGGUAUCUAUGUCGUUUGCCCAGUUACUGGAGCUGGGGCCAUCAGCAACGGGCAUCUGGAGCAUCUUGGGACUGUUAGCUCCGCAAUUUCAUCAUGUUGUCCUUCAGUGAAUGUUCUGUGCCCGCGGUGAGAGCGUUGUGACCUCAAUGAUGCAUGUCUUGGGGUUAGGUCACAGUGCGUGGGAUUUUUGGUAGGUUCAUGUAUCCGUUUGAUAAUCCGCGCGGUCCAGUACAUGGGGUUGAAUUUUUUGAAGUUCGCUACCACUCAGUUCGGAGACCUCGGCUCUGACGGAUGCUUUCAGUUGUACGCUCUCUUAGUUGGGCAGUUUGAUGAUAGGUAGGCCCAGUUGCGUAGCACGGUGAUUUGGUCGUGUGUCUGCUUCCUUCACUAGCUUUAAUCGAGAGUUGAUACUGUCUCUGCAGACUGGAAGCAAGAUUAUCUAGCAUUGUCAGGGGAUUUUACACGAUCUUGUACCCUUCAGUUUUCUUCGGCGUAGUUGAAACGAGGGAGAACUGACAUGAGGGCAUAAUGACGAAAGGAAGUGCGACGAACCAAUGACUGGGCUUUGAAAGCCAGUCCAUGCUGGCUUUCCAGGUUUGUUAGUGUAGUAGACAAUGUCUGAUUCAGCUAGUAACUUUCGGUCGAAGCCUACGCCACGCUCCUCAGGUUGCCACCGGAAGUUAAAGCUGUUGUCCUCAUAUCUGGACUGUAGAAACACCUGAAGUGACUGAAGUUAGUCCGGUUUAGGUAUGAGAAUGAUUGGAGCACCUCUCCAGAUGUUCCAGAUGUAAUGAAACCGGUGCAAGCUUCAAGCUCUUGAGGUGUUUCUACAGGCUACAUAUGAUAGAUGGCUACCUGGAUAUACCAGUCUGGCUCGUUGCAUUUCGAUGUUUUCAACACAUUCGAUAGCGCAUCCUCGAAUUGCUAAGGUGGCUUGAUCUAAUGUGCUGGUACAUUUCUCAUUGUUGAACCAACCAUUAAAGCGUUUUCAGGUAGGAUUUGGCAAUAUACAAGGUUUCUCAUGCAUUUGAAUGCCGAGUUAUGUGUUACAGGUCAUGCUCUCCUUGACAUAACCAUGGACUUGUAUCAUGACUCUAUUUAUCUCACCACGUGCCACACAUGCAUCGUGGAGUUUGUAUAUGACUGCGGCCUACAUAGAGCACGAUUUGCAGAUUACCUUAAAUCUAGACCGACUAGAUUCUUUGACCGCGGUUAGUCACCUUGAAUUUAAUCCUUUUUCAUACUAAGUACCUGGAGUACUGACAACCAUUUCUGCGGGAAAAUUGUGCUGAUUUCAUUUGAGAGUGGCUCAAAUGACGCGGGAUACUCACAGUACUCAAUGACAGGUUGCUACUCAAUGUUCCUGCACAGCUCUUGUUUUGUUGAUAUGAGCGUGAGCUAGUAUCAUUCCGAAUCAGGAUGUGGUGAUAAAUCAUCUAUGGAUCACGAGACGACCUUCAAAGCUGAAGCUCAAAGGGCGAUCGAUCACGGACUCCAUCAACCACCAGUACGAUUGUUGAGUUGUCUUCAAAAUUUAUCUUUGCUCUGAUGUAACUUUUCAUUUUUACUGGAUUAAUGGAGACCCGUCAACAUAGUUUAAGAGAUCAUAAAUGACGCUAACCAGGGAAUUGUCUUGUGAUGUAGCGUGUUUGCAGAUUACUUCUGCCUCUGUCCAGCUCAUCUGGUGCAUUGAGUGCCUCAUUCCUGCGGAACCACAUUAUCACAAUCACACGUGUGUUUCGUACAAAUGUGCUCAUUCUACCACGCACAUCCACCGGGCUGUUGGACCUUCUGGAGUAAGUGCCUCCAUCUUAGGGCUUGUGAGCAGCAACCGAAUCGGUAUGGACAGAUGGUGUUUAUCGCUAGGGACGAUGCGUUGGGGAUGAACGUACAUGGGAGAUGGUUAUCGAAUCCCAAGAAUUGGGGCAAGUUUCAAAUUCUUUUGUUUACCUAUUUACCUUGUUAGCCCAUCAUACACAGGUUCACAGGUAACGAAACCAAUUGAGAAUACUCUGUUGCAGAACAAUAAAAUACAGUUGGCGUGCAAUAAAAAAAGAAGAAGAAACUACAAUCAUAAAUUGUCGUGAAGAUUAUAACUCAAAAUCCUCUUUGCAAUAAACUAUCACACACACAUAAUGGCGGUUUAAAUUCCGCUUAUAGAGUCCCAACUGCCAGUAACACAAUCUCAUUAAAGGUUCACUCUUGCAAUGACAAAAAAGAAAAAAA